rnacentral:rRNA from 1 species
UUUCUAGCUUGCUAGAAGAUGACGAGUGGCGGACGGGUGAGUAAUGCUUGGGAACUUGCCUUUGCGAGGGGGAUAACAGUUGGAAACGACUGCUAAUACCGCAUAAUGUCUUCGGACCAAACGGGGCUUCGGCUCCGGCGCAAAGAGAGGCCCAAGUGAGAUUAGCUAGUUGGUAAGGUAACGGCUUACCAAGGCGACGAUCUCUAGCUGUUCUGAGAGGAAGAUCAGCCACACUGGGACUGAGACACGGCCCAGACUCCUACGGGAGGCAGCAGUGGGGAAUAUUGCACAAUGGGGGAAACCCUGAUGCAGCCAUGCCGCGUGUGUGAAGAAGGCCUUCGGGUUGUAAAGCACUUUCAGUUGUGAGGAAAAGUUAGUAGUUAAUACCUGCUAGCCGUGACGUUAACAACAGAAGAAGCACCGGCUAACUCCGUGCCAGCAGCCGCGGUAAUACGGAGGGUGCGAGCGUUAAUCGGAAUUACUGGGCGUAAAGCGCACGCAGGCGGUUUGUUAAGCUAGAUGUGAAAGCCCCGGGCUCAACCUGGGAUGGUCAUUUAGAACUGGCAGACUAGAGUCUUGGAGAGGGGAGUGGAAUUCCAGGUGUAGCGGUGAAAUGCGUAGAUAUCUGGAGGAACAUCAGUGGCGAAGGCGACUCCCUGGCCAAAGACUGACGCUCAUGUGCGAAAGUGUGGGUAGCGAACAGGAUUA